UUGCUUCCAGAUGUUUCUUUAUGAUGUUUUGUUCUUCAAUAGGUCAAAUGAAACAUGUUCCUUAAUGACAUCAUCCUCCAGGAAGUGACAUCAUUUUUGGAGGGAAAUCGACAGCCCAGACAUCAGGAAAAGCUGGUCUUUAGGUCUGUGCAUUCCUCCAUCGCACAUUCCCUCCAAAACCUUCCCUGGAGAUGGCGUGUGUUUGGAGUUUCAGCUGGAGAUCAUGAAUCCAGUGUAAAGAUGAAGCUCCAUUAUCUCCGGCAUUCUGAAGGCAUCUGGCUUCACAGAACAUGGAAAUCUGCGGCACACGGAGCAGGUAUUCGGCCAUCAGCGAGCCAGUGGAAAAACUGAGAUGUUGGAUGUGAAUCUCAGAGAUAGCGGGCUGAAGUCAGUGAGGUAAUGACAGAAACCAGAAAAACAUCAGUCGGCAGAGAGCACUCGGGAAAACUUGAUUCUGACGGAACAUUCGUGAGAUUCAGAGUUGGAAUUGUUCUGAAUGUGACUGAUCGCUUCACCUGCUGGAUGAGAAAAACUAUAGACAUAAAAACUUAGACACGAAGCAAGCAUUUCAUUUACAGCUUAAAACUAAAACUUGAACAUUAUUCUUGUUUAUUCUUUCAGUCUUUCAAAUGCUGAUAUUUCCUUCAGAAAAUGCAAUCUAGUUUCCAUCAUUGUGUCUGCUCAGAAACACAUUGUCUUAAAAAAAGACUGUAAAUAUUAAAGGAUUUUAAAUAAUGAAAGGGUUAUUAAAUAUUAAAGGGUUUCAAAGACAGUAAUAUUACCGACUUGACUGCACUGACACUAUCAGAUGAGAACAAAACUUGAUCUGAUUAAUGACUCUAUUGUCUUCUGUAGAGCUGCUUUACAGCCGAAUUUGAAUUUGUCUCAUAUUUGAUGAAGUUUGCAUCAUUGAUUCUGUUAUUUUCCUGUUUAUUUCUGUGAAGCUGCUUUGAAACAAUCUGUAUUGUAUAAAGCGCUAUAGAAAUAAAUGAAUUCUGUAACACAAACUCCAAACCGCCAUCAGCAGGCUGUCAGUGAUCCAGUGAUAGAGGUUGUUAAUUGUUUGUCUCAGAUGAGUCCAGUUUUCCAUGUAGAAGGAAACGUGAGGAACAUCUGCUUUGAGUAUCUGAACAUAAAAUCUCCUCUUGUGUUUUUCCAUAUGCGGCUCCCGCUCAGACAGUAAAUAUGAUUUCAUGACACGAGUCUUCAGGUCCUUUUCCUUCAGUUGUUUGUACUGGAAAACAAGACAGAAAUUCUGAGGAAGAACAUAAUUUUUUUGCAGCGCAGAACCAGGUCAAUGGUCGAGCUCUUCUAGAAACACACUUGCAGUGUUAAACAUCCAUCUCAAUAGUUCUGGAUCAAGUUCAGACGUCACUCGAUCUGUUUACACUUUCUGUUCACACAUUCUUCUGAACGGAGGAAACACAAGCCGUCGUUACAAUCCAUCUGUGAACCUCUCAUAUAAUGCAUUUCACAAUGUUUAUGAAGAUUCAGUGCAGCUGAUCUGACAGAUCAUCUUCUUACAAAUAACUCCAUAUCUAAUGCAGUUUGAUGGAUGUUUUGAUCUGAGAACAACACUUGGACCAUUUAGAUCAGAGGACCAGAACUGUAUAGAAACAGAAAUAAAGAUGUGAAAGUAAACCACAUCAACACACACACACACUUGAGAUGUGAGUAUAUACAGUAGUGUUUCUCUCAGCUCGAGGUUGAAAUGUGAUCGUCUCAGGAGAGACUCAUAAAUUCUUCUCUUGAAUAAAUGGAGGUUAAACUGAAAAGCUCAACAGGAGGAAGGAUCUUUACUUGUCUGACGUUUAUUUAAGAAUAUAGAGAUCGUACAAAGACGUGUAUAGGUCAAGCGGUCAAAAAAAAACUAUAUCUAUAAAUACAAUAAAUAUCCUCAUUCAAAUUUUUUUGUAUUGCACUUUUUACAAUACAUAUCAUUUUGAAGAACGCUUACAGAAAAUGGAAUGUUGGAAUAUAAUGUAAUACUGCAAAAUGAAUCUGUUUUUUUAAAAGCAAAAAUCAUCACACAUUUGAGAAUUUUUAAAAAUAGUUUAUUUAUUUGUGAUGUUUAUGGAUCCAAGUUUAUGGAUUUUCUUAUAAUAUUCCCAAGUGGCAGCAUAUAUAUUUAAAAUAACAGAGGGCCUAACACCGAACCUUGUGGCACUCCAUAAUUUACUGACGUUAUCUUAGAUUUUUCCCCAUUUAAAUAGACAAAAUGGUGACAGUCUGAUAGGUACGAUCUAAACCACCUUAACGCAUGUUCCUGAAUACCAGUGUAAUUUUGUAGUCGAUCUAAGAGUAUUUUAUGAUCUAUAGUGUUGAACGCAGCUCUGAGAUCAAGUAAAACUAGUAUUGAGGUACAGCCUAUAUGAUGUGACGCUUUUCAUACAGAACAAACAAGUCAAGUCAGCUUUAUUUCUACAGAGCUUUAUACAGUACAGAUCGUUUCAAAGCAGCUUCACAGUAAUGAACAGAAAAAUAGCAGAAUCAGUGAUGCAAACUUCAUCAAAUAUGAGACAAAAUCAAUUUUUAGCUGUAAAUAGGGUUGCAAAGGGGCUGAAAAUUUCCAGAAACUAUCCAAAAGCUUCUGAAAAUUUCCACAAAAAACUUGGAAAGUUUCCAAAAAUCCUGGAAGGUUUCUGGAAACUUUGCAACCCUAGCUGUAAAGCAGCUCUGCAGAAGACAAUAGAGUGAUUAUUCAGAUCAGUUCAGCUCAAUAACAGUGUCACAGAACAUGAUUGAAAUCACGUCUGUAUGACCGGGUUCUUGAGCAAAACUCUGAUCAUCUGAGGCUGUUCUGUGGUCGAACAUGUGCAGAUGUGUGUUGUUUACAUUCACACAUGUUCCUGAUGAACAGAAGUGACAUGAGACGUUUGCUGACAUGACAAACACAACAGAUCUCUGAUCUCUGAGCGGAUCGUUGCGUCUGCUGACGACUCUGUCCUUCUGGGGUUUGUGUUUGAUAUUCAUCCUUCACAAUGUUUCUGCUGCUUCAGAUGUCUGAUGUUUGACACGAGCUUCCCGUCUCAAGGGAUUCACACUGCUGCGGGUGGUUUAUUAGUGAUCAGUCAUCACUAGUAAUACUCAUAAGUAAGAUUUUUCAAAGUUGUAAAUAAAACAAAGAUUAUGGGAGUAUCCCAGCUAACAGGGAAUGUUCUGGCAAGGUUCUCUCAGCAUCCAGUAACAUUAAUAGGAUGUUUGUUUAAAGUUAUCUGGUCUUUUUUAAAGAUGUAUUUUUUGGCGUUUUUGCUUUUGUUAUGAUAGGACAGUAAGCGAAGUGGGAGAGAUAGAAGGGGACGGGAUCGGGAAAGUGGACUCGGGUCGCCCAAAGCACAGCGGCGCUAUAUGUCGGUGCUGCCCACUAGGCUAUCUGCUUUUUUUAUCGGUCUUUAAUAAUGUUCUCAAAACAUUAGAACAAAAACGUUAUACAUUUUUCCUGAAACAUUAAGUUGGACGUUCAUCUAGCGUUUUUUAAAUGUUACUACUUGUUUCAGAACGUUCAGAGAACAUUUAAAACUGACGUUUUCAUAACUUUAUUAGUGUCAAUCAGUGUAAAUCUGACACAUAUUGGAUUUUUGGGAGCUUUAGGGGUUUUAAUUGUUUUAUCUUCUCCAACAAUCAUCAUUUUGCUUCAUGUGAUUGUAUUAUACGUGACGAGAAUGUGAUUGUGUUCUCUCAGUUUUCUGUCUGCUGUGAGUUUAUUUUGCCUCUCUCAUGUUUGUCAUGUGAUCUGGUGAAUGUAUAUCGCAGCAGAAGUGAGCGGCUCUAUAUCAUGUCUCCCAUCGGAAGAGCGUUCCGGAAAGCUUGAAGGCACGAGAGGAAUGAGCCGGACGCAUGUCUGUUUCUGCACUGAUCCGACUCGAGCCCUUGAGCAUGAAUGAGUUCAACACCUUCAUCUAUCAUCUCAACUUCCGCUUCUCACCAUAUAACAACACGUCUCUCUCUCUGCAGCUCACAGUAGCAGUAAAUGAACCCAGAACGGCCGUCUCACCAGCUGUGUUUCCAUCCAAAGUUGACAAUUUAGCUUAUGCACCAAAUUGGCAUAUGGCAUAAAACAUUUGCGAAUAAAGCAGCGUCUCCAUCCCAUGUGAACAUUCAAAAGAACAAAAUCAUCACUUCCUGGGAAAUUGGUGCAAAAUAUCAGUACUAAAACUGUAAGUUUCUUCAGUCGGGCUCUUUCUCCUCCAUCAUAAAUGAGUUGGUCUCAGAGCGUCAGACGAAACACAAUAAACGCUGUCAUGUGAUCUUGCGUUCGGAUGCUGGUGUUUGGGAACACAAUCGUGUGAGACGCUUCUGGAGGGAAUUAAAUCAAAUCAUUCUGAUGACAGACUUUGACUCAGACGUUUCAGAACCACCAAACCAACAUUUGUGAUGCUGCGAUGCGAUUGGUCCACUGGUUACUGCACUUUUUCAAUCACAGCCUCUGAAAUGCCUGAAAACACUCAAAUCAUCUUAGUCAUUAGAUGUAUUUGUAGAGUUUUUGAGCAAUGUUUUCUGGAAACAUUCAUUUUUGUGUUGAUCAUGUGUGAUGAACAGGUCCGUCAGUGACGUGGAGUGACGUGGCGCGUGUUCAAACACAUUCCUGACGCUCUUCUGCUGAGCGGCGAGUGUGUGAUGGACGACUUCACUCCGCCUCACAGUUACCGUAACCCGGGUCAGAUCUGCAGCUGGAGGGUGUCGGACAGAUGUGGAGGAGACCCGAUCGUUCCCAUUCCUGCAGAGACCGCACAUCUGACUGGCUGCUGAACUGGGUUCCUCUGAGGUUCUGACCCAUAUUUGAGGAUCGUGAUUCCUGAGCGUUACUGAUGCUGAACUCGUGUGAUUGCCUCCAAAAAAAAUGACGGAGGCUGAAGGCCUGAAGAUGAAGCAGCUGUUUGUUCUGACUUUGUGAAUGUCUCUGCCGCCCACUGUGCUGAUGCACUGGAUGUGGCUGAAAUCAGACAUUCCAGGGAUUCAGAGCUAAAUCCAUUAUCCUUGCUAUUCACCCCAAAUUCAGCGUCUGUCCGGUGACCUGCUCUCUGUUCGGGAUAUCGCCGUAAAACACAGAAUGGACUCGGCUAUGCUGUUGUGCAUCUGACGGCUUCAAUCCCGAUCGCUCGGCGCUGUUUGAAAUGCAUCACCCAACAUGACCCUUCUUCGCUACUUGUCAUUUUCUUCAUCCAGAAACAUUAAGCAAUCUGCACGGAUUUUGGACAUGUCUUUCCUGGAAGGUCAAGCGCAGUGUCAUGAGUAUGAGUAUUCCCUGAAGCAUGUGCUCCUUCACCCUGUGAUCACUGCUCAUGAUGAAGAGACAGAAGCAUCUCAAGAGGAGUCCAGACCGAAGCCCCGAGGACACGGCGAAGCAAACAUCGGGAAAGAGGCAAUGUAACAACAUCUACAACAUCACCUCUUCCCUGAAGUGACGGGUGAUCCACAGCCACUGAUCUGUGUUCAGUUAGACAGUAGUAACGACAAGAGUUGGAGACUGAGAAUUCCUGGCAUAAGCAUCUUAAACUCUUAAUUUUAUUUGAAAUAAACAUGAAGAGCUCCAAUUAAUAUUAAAGUCUGAAAUCCAAAUAAAAUCUAUUGACUCUCUUAA